GGCAUUGACGGGUAACGGGGAAUUAGGGUUCGACUCCGGAGAGGGAGCCUGAGAAACGGCUACCACAUCUAAGGAAGGCAGCAGGCGCGCAAAUUACCCAAUCCUGACAUAGGGAGGUAGUGACAAGAAAUAUCAAUACAUGGUUUUAUUCUAUGUAAUUGGAAUGAGGGAAUUUUAAAUAUAUAUUCGAGUAACAAUUGGAGGGCAAGUCUGGUGCCAGCAGCCGCGGUAAUUCCAGCUCCAAUAGCGUAUGCUAAAGUUGUUGCGGUUAAAAAGCUCGUAGUUGGAAUUUAGCCCAAGUCAACCGCGUCGCACCAAAUGGUGUAAUGCAGGGUGUACUAGGCUCUCUUCAAUUCCUAUAUGCAUUCUUCAGUGAAUGGUAUGGGUUUCGAAGCAUUUACUUUGAAGAAAUUAGAGUGUUUCAAGCAGGUUAUACGCCGUGAAUAUGUUAGCAUGGAAUAACAAAAGAAGACAUUGGUCUUAUUUUGUUGGUUUAUAUCACCAAUGUAAUAAUUAAUAGGAACAAUCAGGGGCAUUCGUAUUCG
rnacentral:rRNA from 1 species